rnacentral:rRNA from 1 species
GGAAUCUUCGGCAAUGGACGAAAGUCUGACCGAGCAACGCCGCGUGAGUGAAGAAGGUUUUCGGGUCGUAAAGCACUGUUGUAUGGGAAGAACAGCUAGAAUAGGAAAUGAUUUUAGUUUGACGGUACCAUACCAGAAAGGGACGGCUAAAUACGUGCCAG